rnacentral:tRNA from 1 species
GGCCGACUAGCUCAGUUGGUUAGAGCGUCGUGCUAAUACCAAUUCCUGGUACGCGAAGGUCUUGGGUUCGAUCCCCACGUUGGCCA